CCUCAAGAUGGAAGCAGUUUCUGUUGUCUGAAAGGAAAGAAAGUGCUUCCUUUUUGAGGGU
rnacentral:pre_miRNA from 1 species